rnacentral:rRNA from 1 species
GACGAACGCUGGCGGCGUGCUUAAUACAUGCAAGUAGGACGCAGUGGCGAACGGGUGAGUAAGGCGGAGGUAACUACCUAUUAGAGGAGGAUAACUAGUGGAAACGAUAGCUAAUACCGCAUACGAGUAGAUGGACCUGCGUUGUAUUAGCUAGUAGGUAGGGUAAUGGCCUACCUAGGCAACGAUACAUAGCCGACCUGAGCGGGUGAUCGGCCACACUGGGACUGAGACGAGUCCCAGACUGCUCCGGGAGGCAGCAGUAGGGAAUCUUCGGCAAUGGGGGGAAUCCUGACCGAGCAACGCCGCGUGAGUGACGAAGGUUUUCGGAUCGUACAGCUCUGUUGUUAAUGAAGCGGUACUUAAACAGAAAGGGCCGGCUAACUACGUGCCAGCAGCCGCGGUAAUAC